rnacentral:lncRNA from 1 species
GAAUUCAAGUCUCACGAGAUGCAUCUAAUUGGUCCAACCUAAUUCACACCCAGAACUCCAGCUGCAAGGGUUCCCUUAAUAGCCAAACUGGUUUUCCUGGAAGAAGAAGAAAAAGAAAGCAGUGCAAGAAAUGUUCUUUGAUGUCAUCUUCCUCCUUGCUCCAGAGUGUAUGAUGCCUGCCUGCUGCCCAGAGCAUUACACACAGAUUCUCUAAGCAUUGCCAUAGCUACACCAUUCUGCUUGGGAUAAUGAUGUAAAACAAAUAAAACAUAAGUAAAAUCGAAUUUGAAAUAAAACAAUAGGCC